GUAGGUAACAGGAACCUUAAGGUAACAACUGUGUGUGUGUGUACAGUCGCUCAGUCACGUCCGACUCUGGGACCCUGUGGACUACAGGCUGCCAGGCUCCACUCUCCAUGGGAUUUCCCAGACAAGAAUACUAGAGUGGGUCGCUGUUUCCUUCUCCAGGAGAUCUGCCUGACCCAGGGAUCGAACCCGUGUCUUCCCCAUCUCCUGCAUUGGCCAGCAUAUUCUUUACUGCUGACCUACCAGGGAAACCUCUGAAACAGGAGUGCUCUGGAGGGGAUAUCCCAGCUGGAUACAGUCCUGCCUUUGUUGCAGUGGGAGGUGGUCUCACUGAAGGCACCAGCAUCCCAUCAGUAUUUGUGCUAGUUUUUAUUUCUACUGCUGAGGCUUUCCUAUCCACCUGGGAAAACAGACUUCUCCCUACUUGAAGCUCUUUCAGUCUUUGUUACUCUGUGUGUUUUCUUUGGAGCAGCAGGUUUGGGAAUUUAUCACCAGGAUUAUGUCACUCUGAGCAACAGAAUGAAAAGGGUUCUCAAAUAGAGAGUAGAGAGCCCUGCUCUUCCAGAUGACUUUUCAAGGGUGACAUGUGCAAACUGGAGGAAGUGGGCUAAAGUGACCUUCUAAUGACUGUUUUUGAGUGACUCUCAGGAAAUUUGCUUAAUGUCCUACACACUCAACUUCUGAGAGUAAUUGUUGGGCUAGACGCUUGGUGGAGUAAGACACUCGAUCCUCUGAAAACCUGAUGAAAUACCAACCCUCUCUCUCCCCCAACACACUGCCGUGUUUCAUUAUUUACCAAUUAUGAAAUAACUACAUGAUAAUUAACGUGAAAUUAUAUAGAUGAGCAGUUUGAGUAUUUUGAACCCAUAAUUAAGAUGCAAAUUAUCAACAAUCUGGAGCAUGCCACCAGGCAGUAACUCAUAUACAGUGGUCCCUGAAGACACAUCAUGUGUUUGGGCAUGAUUUGUUUGUGGCAUGGGUUUAUACCUAAUUUGGGAACCUGUUAGAGAGCUGAUGCUAUGUCUCAGAGUGCCAAUUUGGGUUCUGGAUUAGCUGUGCUCAGUGCGCUGAGAAGUGCCCACUUGCACAGCCUAGUAGCAUGACAAAUGGCCCCAUUCCUGUGAGAGAGGAGAAUGGGACAGUUGUGUUGUGGUCUUAGUUGGUGCCUCUGCCCCCUGCCCCUGCCACACUGGGAGCCUGGCUGCAAGCUUUCUGUGGGAGGUUUUUGUUAGAGGGUGUACUGCUGUGGCAAUAAUAACAACAACCUACGCUUUGGAGCAGGGACCAGACUGACGGUAAAACCAACUGUUCCCUUUCUCAAAUGCUCUGCUCCAGGCAAACUGGACACCUGCUUCCCCUGAAUGCUUACAAUUGCCCACACCUGAACCUGGUGUCCAUAAAUCAGACUCCACGGACCCACCAAUGAAAGCAGACUUGCAGACAUGAAACAAAUUGUUUCUCAGCCAGAAGACCCAGCACAAGUGUCACUAGACUUCAUUUCACAGGACAACUUGAGAAACUAUAUCCCUUCUUCAAAAUGACGGAGGCUUGGGUAAGCGAUCCAACAGGCAAAUAGCAAAGUAGGAAGGAAGGAGAUGCUUCUGUAACAGGUGUGGAGAGGAGGGAAGACAUUCUCUGGAGGAGAACAACACUGACUUAACCCAAGUAGGAAUAUAUGGGCUGCAAUAUUUCCUGUAUAUUUCUUGUUUUCCCUCUGGAGGGGUCCAUUCCGGCUUGUUUGUUGUUAAGCCCCUGGUCCCCACCGCGGUGCCCAGAGGUGGGGAAGGGUGAGGGGGACACUUUGCCCUAUACUCAACAGUGGAAGUAAAAGGUAAAAUCAUUCUCAGAUUUUCCUUCAAGCUACCUCAAAAUUAAGAGAGGUUCAAAAGGAUCACCUUGACAAAACAGGAGAAGCUACCUGUAAAAGAAUGAUUUUAGGUUAGUCCUUGGCGUGUGUUAUCUCCCAGGAAAGGGACAGUAAGAAAGGAAAAGUCUUCACUAGGACAAAGAUAGAAAGUAGUGAAAGUCCUUUUCCUGCUGAUUGUCCAAGCUGGGGAUGAAAGGUCUGGAGCUGGAGUCAAGGGUGAGCUCCAGCACUGACCAGUGCCUGCAACUGUCUCUAGUUUUUUGGAAUGAGAACAAGGCAGGAAUCCCCUUACACGUUCGAGAGCCUGGACAUCAGAGCCAGGCUCCAGCAUCCUGAAAGGGUGGACCAACGUGCCCACCCCUCUUGCUGGGUGGGCAGUGGCAGCUGCCCUCAGUCUCUACCAUUGCGAUGACAGCAUCUCUGACUGCUUUUGCUUUGGUGCCAUGGAUAGGAACUGUUCCUACUUUGUCCAAAUGAGUUAUAUGAUCUUCAGAACCUCAGGAGAAUUAUUAUCUAAAGCACCAGAGGAUAGCUAGGAUUUUGGCAGUCUGGGCUUUUGUGGGAAAGUAUUCUGGGCUUUUGUGGGAAAAUUCCUUCUUUAGAAUAGUUAGAAAGAAUAGCUAGCUUCCAUUCAUCCAAUGUGGAAACAGUUCUGAACUCCAAGCUGGAGCUAGGAUUCUGUGCCAGGUUAUUACUGUGACAAUUACUUAAUAUUCUCCAUGCUCAUGGUAUCGCUUCUUCCAGAAGAUCUUUAGGGAAAACUUAGUUCAGUUUCCAGGAGGUUUUUGCUGAGCUGAAGAUCACUGUGUGAAUAAUAAUGCAGGCAACAUAUUCACAUUUGGAGGGGGAACAAGGUUAAUGGUCAAACCUCGUGAGUAUCUCUGCUGAAUCCAUAAUGAAUGUUCUGAUUUCUAAAGGAAGCCAUAGCACUGAACUUCAUUUGAGGACUUUCUCCACCCAGUGUUUUUAAAGUUACUUCUAACCAUUAAUCCUAAGGAUGAUACAGCAUACAUAUAUGCCAUAUGUACUUGUGAAAACGGGCACAUAGGUAAUUCUCUGGAACAGAAACAAAUAAGCUGGAGGAUAACAGAUUCUUUGUCCUUUUUGUCUUAACCAUUUGCAUCAGAGAGCCUGGGUUGAACUCAGGGACGGUUGAGCACUGGAGUGGGAGAACCUUCUCCAGCAACUUUGUGAGGAUUUUGCCGUGUCUUGCUGGGCUGGUGAGAGGACAGCUUGGUCUGGAGGUUGGGGGAUGAAAUAUGUAACCUCAGAACAGCCUUUGUGUCCCAACCAUGCUGUAAACUGGCCACGAUUAUGAGCAGUCUUCCCCACUGCUUCUUUGGCCAGGAUCCCAGCUGGAGGAGCACGCUGGCUAGAUUUGGGGAUUGAAAGGGAUUUCCUGGUACACACUGGCCUGGUUGGUUUCUGUAAAGCUUUCCAUGACUGUGUAAUACUGGCAACAACCGUAAGCUGAUUUGGGGACUGGGGACAAGUCUGGCAGUAAAUCCAAGUGAGUCUUCAAAUUAACUCUCUCAAACCUGUCUCUGUAGUUUGAAGUAUCUGAGAAACUAUCUCCUCUUUAGAGAGACAGUUUUAAAUGUGCAGUAAUGAGUAGUGUUCUUCUCUUGUCCACCCAAGCUGAGUCCUCGCCUACCUCUCAAUCAAAAUAACUAGAUAGAACAGUUCAGAUGUGCCUGGUGGGAAAGCAAUUGGAGUGUUUGACUGUUGUCUUACAGAGCAAACAGGUGGCCCAUUUCAAAAUAGCCAUCAGGAAGCAUCAAAAGUUAGACGAGGUGAAACUACACGUCAUGUAUCACAGCCUCCUUAGUCUACACUAUACCAACAUCAUCUCAGGCCAUCAGUGAAUUCUGUUAGCCUCCAGCCAAAGGUAACUCCAGUGCUGCUGGGAACUCUCAGAACUCAGGGCCUUCCCAGUGGCCUCCCUGGAGAGCAUCUCCCUAGUAUGGAUUAUCCAGCAUGACUCAAACCUACCAUGUGAUUUCUGCAUCUCUCAGUUCUCUUUGGCUCACAGUCUUAUGGUAGAUUUACUAGAAGCAACAGGGAAAGAAGUUGGUUUCAUCCUAAUUCUGGUCUCUUGAGGAGUUCUUCUCUCCAAGACUCUUCAGAAACAUCUUAGGGACCACCCACCCUGCUCAGAAUUGUGCCUUGUACAACCAGACUGGUUCCCAGCAGUGUUUGCUGUGGCUUUGGCUAGCUCCCAGGGAAUUUCUGGAGCUCCAGGCUGGAGCUGUGGGGAGAGGAGCGGGGGUGAUACAGUGAGCUCAGAGGAUUUGGGAAAGACAUCUUUGAUAGAGGCGUUAAUGAAUUUCUAAAUGAGCUUCUGUGUGUUAACUUGAUAAGACUCUCCAGGGAGAAGGUCAUCCUUACCUUUGCAACUCUAAAUGUAAGUCAUGGGUUGCAAGAAAAAAUGGGAAAUGUCAAUUGCCAUGCCAAAAUGAAGGGAGAGGAUAUACGUAUUGAACCAGUUUUAAUGCUAAGUUUAUGAAAUGUAAGACUUUCAGGAGAACCUUCUCAGGGUACCUUUAUUAAGAUCGAUGAGCUAACUAUUUAGUCAGUGUUACGGGGAUGCACACUUUAAAGGGGAACCCAGAAUUUUUUUAAGGCCAAUGAAAGGUUUAGCCACUAUAGGUGAGUUUUGGAAUCAAACUGCCUGGGUAAACCCUAACUCUGCUACUUGUUAGAUGUGUGACUUCGGGCAGAUAACCUAAUCUCUUUAUGCCUCAUUUUUUCAUCUGUUAAGUGGAAAUAAGAACAGUACCUAUAUCACUGCAUUGUUAUGAGAUUAAGAGAGUUAAUACUGACCAAGGGCCUUGCAUGCAGUGACACAUAGUAAGUCUCCAAUAAAUAUUAGUUAUUAUUACUAGAUCAGGUUGCUGGAGGGAGGAAAGGAUCUCCUUUUACAGUUUUUGUAAAGUAGAGCAUUACAGUGUGACUCAGGAAACACAGGAAGACUCACCUUUGGGCAGGGGACAAUGUUACAAGUAAAACCAGGUAGGUCUGAUGUUCCGAACAGUCCAGAGUUACCCAUUAAGCUCAUUCUUUGGUUAAUCUUCUCUGCCUUUUCAACUUAUCAAAGACUCUUAUUUUUUAGAUUUCAUCUUUCGUUAACACUAGUAAGGAGAAUGUGGGUAAAGCUUGGCUGGUAUGGUCUUUUCUAACUCACUUGGUUUCAGUUAGUGGUGAAAAAAGGAGCAAGACUUGAGGUAAGUUAGGUCUGGAAUUUCUAGGCAAGACCAAGAGAAUAUAAUUUGAUGGGAGACAUAAAAACAUCAAAUGUAAGAAGUGUACCAAAACUAAAGUUGAUUUUACGCAAUAAUAUACUGUAGUGAGAACCACCCCAGUAGCCACGAGAAUUCUCUUAAGAAUUGCCUUUCAAGGGGAAGAUGGGUAACAUGAAAAUGAUAAGUUUUUGUGUGAAAAAAUGGGGAGGAAAAAUGGGAGACUGUUGAUAAUUUGGAUUUUUUUGUUAAGAAACAUGGAAAAGAACAUUUUUUCCAUAGGAUGGUUGGUAAAAGGCUAUCAUCAAGUAGGAGUCAAAAGAGUCAAAAUGUGUAUGGUAUCCCCCGGGUGAACCUCACAGAGAAAGAGGAGGAAGAAAAUGGCCCAGAGUAAAGUGUUUUUGUACUGGGCAGAAACACUGUGUUAACUUCUGGAGCAAACCAGCUUGUCUUUGGGACAGGAACAAGCCUCACCAUCCUCCCCCAAGUCAAGGACCCCAACCCCACUGUGUACCAGCUGAGAAGCCCCCAAUCCAGUGACACUUCUGUCUGCCUAUUCACCGAUUUUGAUUCAAAUCAAGUCAACAUGGAAAAAAUCAUGGGGUCCGAGGGGAGCACGGUGCACAAAACAAACAGCACCGUGCUCAACAUGGAGAUCCUGGGAUCCAAGAGCAACGGGAUAGUGACUUGGGGAAACACCAGCGAUGCUGGAUGCGAAUACACCUUCAACGAGACCAUUCCCUUCGCCUCCAGCUUGGAAAUCUCCUGUAAUGCCAAGCUGGUAGAGAAAAGCUUUGAAACAGAUAUAAACCUAAACUCCCAAAACCUGUCAGUGAUAGUGUUCCGCAUCCUCCUCCUGAAGGUGGUCGGGUUUAAUCUGCUCAUGACGCUGCGGCUCUGGUCCAGUUGAGGUCACCGACAACCUGAGAGCCCCGUGCUCCCUCGCCCCUUGCUCCUCGUCGCCCUUCCUCUCCCUCUUCAAGCAGAGAGGCGCACUCUCUGCCCCCAUGGAUGAGAAGGCUCCCUCCUCCUCUCUGGCCUGGCUGGCCAUAACACCAACUGGAUCCUCCAGAUACUGGUGAUCAAGAUGCUGACAAGCUGCCCAGCACGGCUGCCACCCACUCUCUUCCUCACUGCUGCUUGUCACUGCCUGGCAUUCUUGGCAAAGUCGGGGGGCUGCUGCAGCCUCUCCUGGCUGUGGGGACACUCCCUCCCCACCCCCACCCCCCAGAGACUGCCUCUGAUGUCCCACUGGAUGGUGGAUCCCCAGUGGGUUCUCCUGGGCUCUAGCUCCUGGAGAAUGUUGUGUGUUGUUUAUAUUUUUUUACAUAGUGUUCAUAAAAAAAUAUAUAUCACCCUUUUCCCCAACAUGUGGGGAAAAAUUAUCUUUUCACGAUCUAGGCCCUGCUCUUCUGUGUAUCCGAGCCACAUUGUAUAUUCUGCUGCCACGGCUUCAAUAAAAGCGAUUUGGAAGAGAC
ensembl:lncRNA